AGCGCGUGCUUACUACAUGGAGAGCUUCUAUGUCUACAAAGACAGUUGAGGCAUUGCUCUGUACACAAAGCUAUUUACAAAAACCAUGGCUCUUGAUCUACUAUGUGAUUAUGUACCUGAUGAUGAUGGUGAAGAUGCGGCAGUCAUAAUUGAGAAUUUCCUAAAAGCUUGAAGUUUAUUUCUUGGCUCCUUGGUAAGAAAUGGAAGGCUAGGAUUGCAAAUUGCAAGUGCAGGCUUUGCAACCAUCCAUUUUCGUUUGCAAUGAUCACAUUUCAUUUCUUAUCGUUAUCGACUUGUCGUAGACAGACUUAUAGUUGUGGAAAUGUUGUUUUUUACUUUUUAGCAAACUGAACUUAUUUUGGAUUGUUGUUUUGAAGUUAUGGAAAUGUUGAACUUAAGUAUGUAUGCAACCUGAACUUAUUUUGGAUACAUUGAUCAUAUGGAAAUGUUGUAUAACUUA